rnacentral:RNase_P_RNA from 1 species
AACCGCCGAUGACCCGCGCAAGCGGGAUCAGGUAAGGGUGAAAGGGUGCGGUAAGAGCGCACCGCGCGGCUGGUAACAGUCCGUGGCACGGUAAACUCCACCCGGAGCAAGGCCAAAUAGGGGUUCACAUGGUACGGCCCGUACUGAACCCGGGUAGGCUGCUUGAGCCAGUGAGCGAUUGCUGGCCUAGAUGAAUGACUGUCCACGACAGAACCCGGCUUAUCGGUCAGCUUCAACU